rnacentral:rRNA from 1 species
UAGGGAAUCUUCGGCAAUGGACGAAAGUCUGACCGAGCAACGCCGCGUGAGUGAAGAAGGUUUUCGGAUCGUAAAACUCUGUUGUUAGAGAAGAACAAGGACGUUAGUAACUGAACGUCCCCUGACGGUAUCUAACCAGAAAGCCACGGCUAACUACGUGCCAGCAGCCGCGGUAAUACGUAGGUGGCAAGCGUUGUCCGGAUUUAUUGGGCGUAAAGCGAGCGCAGGCGGUUUCUUAAGUCUGAUGUGAAAGCCCCCGGCUCAACCGGGGAGGGUCAUUGGAAACUGGGAGACUUGAGUGCAGAAGAGGAGAGUGGAAUUCCAUGUGUAGCGGUGAAAUGCGUAGAUAUAUGGAGGAACACCAGUGGCGAAGGCGGCUCUCUGGUCUGUAACUGACGCUGAGGCUCGAAAGCGUGGGGAGCAUACAGG